CUUUCCAAAAGUCUGAUUUUAUAUAUUUACUACUGUGGAUUCUAGAUGUACAUGUAGUGAUAAUUUAAUGCUUGAAAAUAGAAACAUAUUAGCAUGUAGUUACAUCAAAUAAACAGGGCAGGGUCUAAAACUGAGACAUCAAAUGUACAAAAAUGUCCACAGUCUUCAAAUGCAAGUUGUUUUUGUGUUUUUGUUCUAUACGCAACCAAAGGUGAAUAAGAGCAACAUCACUUGGAUCGGCAUGUUGUUUGUUGGCCCUGGUGAUGAGGCCACUGAGGCCUCUUCUCUCUCCUGUGGUCUGUGGAGGCUCUAAUCCCAUAUGGAGAUGAUACAAACAGUCCUCAUAAGUUUGAGAACGCUGAGGAAGAGAGAGUAGAAGAAGUGCUCAUACCUGGUUAAAGUAAUAGCUGCCCUUUGGUCAAAGAAAUAAGAUCAAUAAACCACGGUACAGUGACUCAGCCUUUGAGCUGCAGGGCGUGUUUUAUCUUAAAAUCGUCCGAACGAGGCAAACACAUUGAUCACGCUAUUCACUUAUGUCAUCACCUUGCCCUUUUCCUGUUUUCUCCAAGGGAAGUCAAAGCUUCCUUUGGAGAAAACAGGUCCAAAAGAAAGUGAAAGCAAACUGAAUUCAGUGGGACUAUGGAAAUGCAAACAGAGCCGGAUUAGAGAGCGGCAACAUCUGUUUAUUUAUCAAAUGCAAAAUGUGCUUUUUUUGGUAAGAUGGAAACAGGCAUGAAUCACAGGCGGUGUGCACCUGAGCCGUGCGGCCGUCAAACCUGACACUCUUCCUACCUUGCGUGUUUCGACAAUUUGCGGUGCCAAUUUAUGCUCACCACUGUCACCACUACUCUUUUGCUCUCACCCUCCUCUGUCCCCACCUUCAUUCCCUCACCCACCGUGGGUUGAGCCAACUCUGCGAGGGUGCGCUCUGCCAAUUAGUGUCUCCCACCUGUCGCCGUGGGUCACUGGAGCAGGCAUCUGCUGGGUGUGAAAUUGGCCAUCUCACUUUCGUCCAUGAACUUUUCAAGCCCCCCCCACAACUCCUUGUUGGCCCAAACACACAACCACCCACCCACAGGAACAGAAAUGCUGCUAUGACCUAAAGUUGACCUUUAUGGUAUGGCCACCCUCUGUGGUAGGGGAAAGGAGGCAAAGGAGUGAUACAAAUACAAAUAAUACCUCUAGCUUGGGUUUUAAAUAGAACAGAAGGAUGCGUGCUGCCAAAUAUGUUUUAGUGCAUCAAAGGAAACACAAAAGUUGCCAUUCCUAUUCUGCGUAGUGAUAUUGCACCAUUCCCACAGGUCAAACUGAACACUCUGUGUGUACUUUGUGCUUUGAGUGCCGUUAGGAAUGAUAUCCAAAACUACAUAAAUAGGACACAGGUGGAAGUAAACACGGCUUAUCCUUUAUUAACAAACAUCAGUUUAUUGUUGCUGUGGGAGUUCAUAGCCAAGAAAAGAAGCGUCGACAAAGCAUCAUUUGAGAACCAGUACUGGAUCUGAAUAAGCUGAGUAUGACAAUGUUUCCUUAGCUUUCCUUCUAAUUACAAAGCUAUAAAGAGGACCUACUGUGCUUUUCCUAUUAUUCUGCAAUAUUUUACAAUGAUGGAGAUUCAGGAAAUGACUUUUCAUAUGUACAGGUAACACCUGUGAGCCAAAAGCUCAGGCUUCAGACAGGAUCUGUGUGUGAGGGGCAGCCAAUCAGAAGAAAGCUGGCUUAAAGGGAGGUUGUUUAGACAGUGACUGAACUAAGGAGCCCGUAAAAGAUACAUAAGGAUGAUUAUGAACCGUGAACCAUGCAAAGCUACUGUAUUAGAGCCCAGCAAUUAAAAACGUGGAGCGUAACAGGCUCAGCUUAAGCCUUUCAUUCACUAAUACCGGAGCCAUUUACACUGACGCCAAGACUUUCAUCUAGACAGGCUCUAUCAAAUUACUCCAACAUAGAGCUGCUUUAGCCUGGCCUAUUAAGCUUGAUGCUCGAGACAAAAACUAGACUGGCUUUGAAUUAAUAGUCUGCUCAACCUUGUGCCACUGACUGCAACAGCAUACUGGUUUGGGUGAUCAGCCAUUUCAGACAAAGGCACAACCCCGCAUGAUCUCAUCAGCCUAAUUCAGUCCAUAUGCUAACUCAAAAUAGGACAAGUGACUGUCUCUUUAUUAUGUGUGCCAGUACAAAGCACCAACUUUUUAAGUGCCAUUUCUCAAAAUGGGGGUCUCCAUUUAGCUCAUCAGUAUCUGCAGUGCAGCAGCGAGCAUAGGAAGGCUUCGACAAGUAAUUAUGGCAGAUUCCACUUUUACUGCGCAGUCCGUCACUGCCACUCAAUGAGCCUGAAUAGGAUAUGAGUCAGAACACUUCUAAAAUGGAGUUCACACAGGGCACACUCCAUUGUCACUUCUCUUUUUCAUAUGCAAGCCGAGCGUCAAUCACUGUCAGUGUAGCUUUUGGUGCUUACUUUAUUAGCAAAAAGACUUUUUUACAGUGACGUACCGACAUGUAGGCUUUUGAAGUUCGCAGCACUGACAAGUCUCCACAAGGGAUUGGGAUGUCAUGGUAGGACUGGUUUACAACUGCCUCUGACACAGCCCAACAGUUAUUUAAACCAAAAAAAAAGAAAAAAAGAAGAGGGCCCCUAAAGAUUGCCUUUAUGUUGCCUCAUUAGAUGGAGCCAAUUAAGAAGAUCUUUGUCUCAUUAUAAAGGCUGGCCCCUAGGAGACAGCUGGGCCUGCCUGUCUAACUGUUUGCAGCUCCCAAGGUGUGUGUGCCUACAAACUGAGGGUGGUUGGGUGGAAACAUCUUGAACUCUGUGCCUCCGUAAGCUUGUCCAUUUCCUAAUCACCAGAGAAUUAAAGAACCCCGAGGAAGCAGUCAACACAUUCCCUGUGAAACAAUUAAUUUCAGUGUUUAAAAUGGGCUACAGCCAACGCCAUAUGCUUCAGUACACUGGCAAUACAGUGAACAUACUGUGGCUACCACUAGGCAUCGCUUGCCCUUCCAAAGGGGGGGAAAAAAACACAGAAGGCUGAAGAUAAUGAUUUUUUUUUCAAGCAUGAUUUACAGUGCAUUUUUAAUCUAAGGUUAGGUUCCAGUGAAUAAAGCAGGUAAAUAUGUGCUACUCUUAGAAAACCCGAGUCUGUCUCUCAGUGAUGAUGAAACUACGUAUCAAUAAUUAAUGGGGCUGAUACUAAAGGUCAACUGCACAGCAUGCCUCCUGCCUCACUCUGGCAUAGAUCUGCCUUCUGCUUUACUGCAGAGGUGCUCACAACAGCAACAACUACUGCAGCAGCAGAAAAAAAAAUAAUGCAGAAAAUGGAGUACUUUAUCAGCACUGUGGGCAGCCGAGAGAGAUGGAAAAAGAGGAUGACUCAGAGGUAGUGGGUGGACUGAGACCAGGUUGGCUGCCCACAUGGAAAGGAAACAUUUUCACCAAAAAAUCCUGUUGCUACAGCACAAGAUUUGCAACCAACAGCACCAACAGUAUCCCAGCAAUAGAGCUCUGAUUUCUCAGAGCAGCAAACGAGAAAUGUGGAGCUGAUAUUGUGGAGUUUUUCAGCUACAAAUGAGGAAAAAAAUGUGGGGAUCAUGGUAGACUCACACAAACAACAACGUUAAGGCACACUGACCAACACAAAUGUGGGUCAAAGCGGUGGCCCAGUUAAAAUAUCGGCGUGUACUCUUAUGUGUUGACUUUGCUGAUCAAUAGCAGUAGUGCAAAGUUUUAACCUCAAAUUUAAUUUCAGCUAAAAAAAACAUGAAACAUGUCAGAAUAACAUGAAAUUUAAAAGACAUGGAAGCAUUUUGGCUGCUCCAGAUGUUUUUAUUGCUAUGCCAUGCUCCUUUAUAAUACUAAUUAUAAAAGCGUCUUGAUCAGACUAUCUUAGUCAGCACAAACCUUUUGUAACACAACAAGUAGAGAUUGGCCACAGAUAUCAGUACAUGUCAUGUUGUUAUGCUGAUAUCAGGUAACAACGCCGAUAACAACUAAUACUGACUGUUUAACAUCAAUGGAUCCCCAUGCAACAUAAUAAUAUAACACAGAAGACAACAUUUGAACUUCUACAGGAUGUAAACUAUAAACCAAAUUAUAACACACAGUCUCAAUGAUCAACAUAUGACCUAUAAAUGUGAUGAGACUCAAGAAAUAAAAAUCACCAGAUGUAAAACACAA